UACUGAAAUCAGAUUGAUUAUAUUCUCUGCAGCCUACGAUGGAGAAGCUCUAUACAGUCAGCAAAAACGAGAUCUGGAGCUGAUUAUGGCUCAGAACAUGAGCACCUUACUGCAAAAUUCCACUUAAAUUGAAGAAAGAGGGGAAAAUCAUUAGGCCAUUCAGGUAUGAUCUAAAUCAAAUCCCUUGUGAUUACACAAUGGAGGU